rnacentral:rRNA from 1 species
GAUGAACGCUGGCGGCGUGCUUAACACAUGCAAGUCGAACGGAAAGGCUCCUGCUUGCAGGGGUACUCGAGUGGCGAACGGGUGAGUAACACGUGGGUGAUCUGCCCUGCACUUCGGGAUAAGCCUGGGAAACUGGGUCUAAUACCGGAUAGGACCACAUUUUGGAUGGUGUGGUGGAAAGUUUUUCGGUGUGGGAUGAGCUCGCGGCCUAUCAGCUUGUUGGUGGGGUAAUGGCCUACCAAGGCGUCGACGGGUAGCCGGCCUGAGAGGGUGUACGGCCACAUUGGGACUGAGAUACGGCCCAGACUCCUACGGGAGGCAGCAGUGGGGAAUAUUGCACAAUGGGCGCAAGCCUGAUGCAGCGACGCCGCGUGGGGGAUGACGGCCUUCGGGUUGUAAACUCCUUUCGCUAGGGAAGAAGCGUUUUUGUGACGGUACCUGGAGAAGAAGCACCGGCUAACUACGUG